rnacentral:tRNA from 1 species
UUCCUGGUGGCUCAGUGGUAAAGAAUCUGCCUGCAGUGCAGGAGACCUGGGGUCUAUCCCUGGUCAGGAAG